AGAGUUUGAUCCUGGCUCAGAACGAACGCUGGCGGCGCGUUUUAAGCAUGCAAGUCGAAGGGUAUACAAAUGCUUGCAUUUGUAGAGACUGGCGCACGGGUGAGUAACACGUGAGAAUCUACCUCGAGAUGGGGGAUAGCCCAUGGAAACAUGGGAUAAUACCGCAUAUGCCUACGGGUGAAAGGAGCUUUUGCUUCGUCUUGAGAUGAGCUUGCGGUCCAUUAGUUUGUUGGUGGGGUAAAGGCCUACCAAGGCUACGAUGGAUAGCCGGCCUGAGAGGGUGAACGGCCACAUUGGGACUGAGACACGGCCCAGACUCCUACGGGAGGCAGCAGCUAAGAAUAUUCCGCAAUGGGAGCAAUCCUGACGGAGCGACGCCGCGUGAACGAUGAAGGCAGAAAUGUUGUAAAGUUCUUUUAUACGGGAAGAAUAAGGAAAAGAAGAGAAUGCUUUUUCGAUGACGGUACCGUAUGAAUAAGCUCCGGCUAACUACGUGCCAGCAGCCGCGGUAAUACGUAGGGGGCAAGCGUUGUUCGGAUUCAUUGGGCGUAAAGGGCACGUAGGCGGUUAUAUAAGUGUGGAUUUAAAGACCGGAGCUCAACUCCGUGUAUGGUCUGCAAACUGUAUAACCCGAGUAUAGGAUGGGAGACUGGAAUUCCACGUGUAGGGGUGAAAUCUGUAGAGAUGUGGAAGAAUACCGGUGGCGAAGGCGAGUCUCUAGCCUAUUACUGACGCUAAGGUGCGAAAGUGUGGGUAGCGAACAGGAUUAGAUACCCUGGUAGUCACACUGUAAACGUUGUACACUAGGUGUUAGAGGUAUCGACCCCUCUAGUGCCGCAGCUAACGCGUUAAGUGUACCGCCUGGGGAGUAUGCUCGCAAGGGUGAAACUCAAAGGAAUUGACGGGGGCCCGCACAAGCGGUGGAGCAUGUGGUUUAAUUCGACGAUACGCGAAGAACCUUACCAGGGCUUGACAUCUAGACAGCGGAUAUAGAGAUAUAUCUUCACUUCGGGUGGGUCUAGACAGGUGCUGCAUGGCUGUCGUUAGCUCGUGUUGUGAGAUGUUGGGUUAAGUCCCGCAACGAGCGCAACCCUUACUGUUAGUUGCCAUCAGGUGAUGCUGGGCACUCUAAUGGAACUGCCGGUGACAAACCGGAGGAAGGUGGGGAUGACGUCAAGUCCUCAUGGCCCUUAUGUCCUGGGCUACACACGUGCUACAAUGGGCUGUACAAAGGGUUGCAAAUCCGCGAGGAGGAGCCAAUCCCAAAAAGCAGUCCUCAGUUCAGAUUGGAGUCUGCAACUCGACUCCAUGAAGUCGGAAUUGCUAGUAAUCGCAGAUCAGCAUGCUGCGGUGAAUACGUUCCCGGGCCUUGUACACACCGCCCGUCACACCAUCCGAGUUGAGGAUACCCAAAGGUAUUACUCUAACCUCGUGAGGAGGGUACCUAAGG
rnacentral:rRNA from 1 species